GGUUCCGUAGCUCAGUUGGAUUAGAGCAACAGCCUUCUAAGCUGUGGGUCGCGCGUUCGAGCCGCGCCGGAAUCACCA
rnacentral:tRNA from 1 species